CGGCGGACGGGUGAGUAACGCGUGGGUAACCUACCCUGUACACACGGAUAACAUACCGAAAGGUAUGCUAAUACGGGAUAAUAUAUUUGAGAGGCAUCUCUUGAAUAUCAAAGGUGAGCCAGUACAGGAUGGACCCGCGUCUGAUUAGCUAGUUGGUAGGGUAACGGCUUACCAAGGCGACGAUCAGUAGCCGACCUGAGAGGGUGACCGGCCACAUUGGGACUGAGACACGGCCCAA
rnacentral:rRNA from 1 species